GUAUAUAUACAUCCUCUCACGUCGAUGUCAAUGUAUGUCAUGGAUAGAUACUCUUCACAUCCGUGAUCUUGCAUGGGUUUUUCAUCAUCGGCACUAAAAUAUCUCUGACACGAAUAGUAUACGAUUUCAUUCAUGAUGUUGACGGUCGUCCUAUCUCGUCGAAGAUGCAUAAAGUUUCUACCGAAUACCAGGAAACCCUAGUUUCUUCUUUUAGCUUUUGAACCGUUUUAAUGAGUUGAUGAUUUAAGUGUAAGAACGAGAUAUAAAUGUGUGAAAGAGGACAGAGAGUAUAUGCAUAUCAGGAUGUCUAUGAGGCAUAGAGGGUUGUGAUGACUAGUCGGCACACGUGUGAAUUGGUGGGCACAGGAGGAGGUGGAAGAAGAAGAAGAAGAAGAAGAAGAAGAAGAAGAAGAAGAAGAAGAAGAAGAAGAAGAAGAAGAAGAAGAAGUGUAUAGGCGUAAUUUUAGGUCUUUUUCCAUGUAGAAGUUGGAGAUGCACGGUUCUCAUAAAACUUUGGUAAAAAUAUUUCGGUUCUCACGUGAAGUUCUAAACAUAUACUUGGAUGUGUUCGAAAGGCACGAGUCUACAUUUGUGUAUGUGUGUAUGUGUAUAUGUAAACGUAUUAUUUUGUUGUAUACAGUAUGCAUUACAUACGCACAUAUACACACUAGCGUAGAGAGAGAGAGAGAGGAUAAGGAGGUGAUGUAUACAGAGGUGGAAGGAGAUGGAGAAUAGUAUUCAUAAAGAUCCCCGUGAGGAGUGUUUGGAGGCAUUCCAAAAUCACAACCAACAUUCUUCUUUUUGCUUUUAUCA